rnacentral:tRNA from 1 species
CAAGAAGUAGUUUAAAUAGAAUACCAACUUUGGGUGUUGGUGGUGGGGGUUGACCCUUCCUUCUUGA